rnacentral:rRNA from 1 species
AGACAGCAGUAGCCGCGGUAAUACAGAGGUCUCAAGCGUUGUUCGGAUUCAUUGGGCGUAAAGGGAGCGUAGGCGGUCGGGUAAGUCGGAUGUGAAAUCCUGGGGCUCAACCUCAGAACUGCAUUCGAUACUGCUUGGCUAGAGGACUGGAGAGGUGAGUGGAAUUCACGGUGUAGCGGUGAAAUGCGUAGAGAUCGGGAGGAACAUCAGUGGCGAAGGCGGCCAUCUGGGACAACACUGACGCUGAGGUGCGAAAGCGUGGGGAGCAAACAGGAUUAGAUACCCGUGUAGUCCCUGUCUCUUAUAC